rnacentral:lncRNA from 1 species
GUAUUCACACCUCCAUUUAUUUACAAAAGUCGCUGUUUCUAGAAUGCCCUCACCCUCUCUGAAACAGCAUCCCUCAGAAAUACCAUGGUGUGCUUUGGUUAAACCAGUGCUCAUCUCGUUAUCAACCAAACGGUAGCUGAUCAUUAAAAGCAUAAAGGAUGUGCCGGCCUCGUGAAAAAUUAAAGAGCUGCCGGCUUCAUAGAAGCCUGGCAUCUUAAAGACCUCUCCAGCCAUCUUCUGAUAUUAACUAUAGAAGAAAGGAUAAACGGGCAGCUGAGAUUUGAAAUAUUAAAGAUUGCUUAUUGUUGCACGACCUGCAAUGGAAAGCCCAGGACUGCUGUUUUGAGAAACUUAUGAUCCGCCCUCAGUCCUGGCCAACUCCUUCCUACAGAUGGCUUAGAAUAAAUUGAAAGGUUUUACCCAUU